rnacentral:rRNA from 1 species
AUGGCGAUGCUCAAAGGCUUAGCACUCGCGCUUCUCGUUAGCUUCUUCUCAUGCUACCUGGCCUCGGUCCCUUCCCUAGCCUCCCCCGAUGACUUCCUCCAAUGCCUACGGGAGAAGAUACCUAGCGAGCUCGUGUACACGAAAAGCUCGAGCAGCUUCGCCGGCGUGCUGGUCUCCUCCAUUAGGAGCGCCAGAUUCUUCACCAACACCACGGUGAGGCCGCUCUGCGUCGUGACGCCGACCGACGCCUCCCACGUCCAGGCCGCCGUGCUCUGCGGCCGCAUGCAGGGCGUGCGUCUCCGCGUGCGCAGCGGCGGGCACGACUACGAGGGCCUGUCGUACCGGUCGGCGCGGCCCGAGGUGUUCGGGGUGCUCGACCUCGCCAAUCUCCGCGCCGUGAGCGUCAACCAGCUUGAGUCCACUGCUUGGGUCGACUCUGGCGCCACCAUCGGGGAGCUGUACUACACCAUCGCGAAGGACAACUCCCAGCUCGCGUUCCCGGCCGGCUUGUGCCCGACCAUCGGCGUGGGCGGCCACUUCAGCGGUGGCGCCAUCGGCAUGAUGAUGCGCAAGUAUGGCCUCGCCGUCGACAACGUCCUCGACGCCAAGUUUGUCACCGCCAACGGGGAUCUCCUCGACAGGGCCGGCAUGGGGGAGGAUCUCUUCUGGGCCAUCCGAGGCGGCGGCGGCGGGAGCUUCGGCAUCGUGCUCUCGUGGAAGGUCCAGCUCGUGCAGGUCCCGCCGACGGUGACCAUGUUCAACAUCGCAAAGACGCUUGACCAGGGCGCCGUAGACAUCGUGACCAGAUGGCAAGAUGUCGGGCCAUCACUCCCCAACGACCUCACCAUAAGGGUGAUCGUGCAGGGCCAGCAAGCCCUGUUCCAGGCCCUAUACCUCGGCACGUGCAGCUCGCUCGUGUCGACCAUGGGCGACCAGUUCCCGGAGCUCACCAUGACGAGCGCCGACUGCCAGUCGAUGACCUGGCUCCAGUCCAUAGCCUUCAUCAGCUUCUGGAACAGGGACACGCCGGUGGAGGCGCUCCUGAGCCGGACCACCAGCCUGAGCACGUACACCAAAAGCAAGUCCGACUACGUCCAGAGCGCCAUCUCCAAGGGCGUCUGGAAGGACAUCUUCUCCUGGUUCACGAUGAACGGCGCCGGGCUCGUCAUCCUGGAGCCCCACGGCGGGUUCAUGGGGAGCGUCCCCACCGACGCGACGCCGUACCCGCACCGGAGCGGCGUGCUGUACAACGUCCAGUACAUGGUGUUCUGGCAGGGAGACGGGGGCACGGCGGCGAACACCUGGCUGGGCAACUUCUACGACUUCAUGGAGCAGUACGUGAGCAAGAACCCGAGGCAAGCGUACGUGAACUACCGGGACCUGGACAUCGGCCAGAACGUGGUGGUGGACGACGUCACCACGUUCGACGGCGGCAAGGUUUGGGGCGAGCAGUACUUCGCGAGUAACUUCCAGAGGCUCGCGUCGGUGAAGGCGGCCGUGGAUCCUACAGACUACUUCAGAAACGAGCAGAGCAUCCCACCAUUGGUCCAAGGACGUAAGUGA